CCUUUCGCCUGGGCCCUUAAUUUGAUUACCUAGGCAGCGCCAGCGCACCAGGCGGUACCAGCCGAGACGGGCUGCGGCUGGCUGCUCUCUCUCUCUCUCUUUCUCUCUCGGGAGAGGGGAGGCAGCAGCCGGGCGGCCAAACGAGGAGUCACCAAAGCGACUGUUGCAAAAAAUGGAAGCGCCCGCGAAGCCGUGAGAGGAAAAGGAACGCCUUUUUUUUAAUCAAGACCCAGCUUUGCCUUCGUUUCCAUGACAGUUAUUAGGUAAGAGAGACAUUGAAUUGUCUCCCACAAUGCUCCGGAGAAAGGACUGGGGGGUGGGGAAGAAGUUGCUCCUCCAGUGACAAAGCGGCGGAGUUCCGACACCGGAGAGCAGGAACUCUGCCUCUUCAGAGAAUUACAAAACUCCGGGAAUAUUCUGCCUUUUUAUCGGCCGCCUCUCCUGCGUUUUGCCUGAAAGUCACGGGCAGGGCUGCUGCUGCUGGUGGUUGCUUUCCUUCCGCCCCCUCCCCUCGAAAGAAAUCUUCAGAAUCGCUGCGCUGCUUUUCGCAAGGCGCCGGCUUCGGCGACGCGAGGGAUAUGAACAAUUUUCCAGGUGGGCUACCGAGAGGGAGUGAAGCUGAAAGGCGUCCAAUCAGGCUUAGGCAACCCACAGCCUUGUCCAAAUGCCUCUCCGGCGGAUCUCGGUAAUCCCAGCGCAGGAGACCACCAGCAAUGGGAGAAGUUCCAUAGGUAGAAACAAAGAGAAGAACAGGGAAGUCGAGAAUUUCAGAAUUUGAAAAGGGAUAAGUGGAAGGAGAAAAUGUUGGGCUGGUGCCAAGCGAUAGCUCGUAAUCCUCACAGAUUCCCAAACAACACAAGAACUCCCGAAGUCACAGGUGAUGCUUCACAUAUCUCUGCCUUGAAUGAAAAAUCUCCAGGCCGCUCAACAAGUCGAUCAAGUAACAUUUCAAAGGUAAGUUGUAAAUCAUUGUCAGGGAGUUUUGUUGCAACAUGCAUACCAUCUUGAUUAAACUGUAAGUACACAUGAAUUCUGUUGGAUAUAAAUGGGGUGUAGUUCUGACUAAAGACUAAAGAUGCAUGAACAUAAGUUUUGAUUCUACAAGAAUAACCACCACAUUUUUAUAAGCUUUGAAAUUGGGCACUAUACUCUCAUGUUAGACUUAACAAGUCAACAUGCCUGAUGUAAAAUAUUUUCUCAUGUAUACACAAAAAGUUGAACUUCUGCUCUUCUGAACUGUACUUCUCUCAAAAUUUAACAACUUCUAUCACCCUUAUAAUCUCUCCCUCAAGCCAGUCUUUAGAGGUUCUUGUCACAAGUAUACACAAUUGUAACCUAGUAAUUUCUAGCUUCAGUAAAGAAACUCAGGAGGACAAUUUGUCUAAAAUGGUGGGCAAAUAACUGCCCCUCCCCUUGAAGUUAGGAAGAAGUUUGGUAGAUGCUUUUGUUUCUGAAAGCUUCAUGGAGGAAUGGAUCAGUGGGAAGAAAUGCCUCACUCCAAGUGAAUUAUUUCAGGAUUCUGAGCACAAUAAAUAAUUAGAUAAAAAUGUGCUAUCUAAUUUUAUUUGGGUUAAUUUUAUUUGGUGUAUUCAAAGCCUUGCUGAAUCCUUCUAUAGUUGUUUUUCCUGUGACUUAGCCUCCAUUUUAUAAGAACCUACCCAUUGCCCCCUUCAAAUCUAAAACUUUUUUCUAACAGCUGUUUUUAUUUCUUUCACUAUUGAUAUAUAAUAUAUAGUGGGGAGAGG